AACGAACGCUGGCGGCAUGCCUAACACAUGCAAGUCGAACGAGACCUUCGGGUCUAGUGGCGCACGGGUGCGUAACGCGUGGGAACCUGCCCUUAGGUUCGGAAUAACUCCCCGAAAGGGGUGCUAAUACCGGAUAAGCUCUUCGGACCAAAGAUUUAGCGCCUUUGGAUGGGCGCGCGUUGGAUUAGCUAGUUGGUAGGGGAAAAGCCUACCAAGGCGACGAUCCGUAGCUUGUCUGAGAGGAUGACUGGCCACACUGGGACUGAGACACGGCCCAGACUCCUACGGGAGGCAGCAGUGGGGAAUAUUGCAGUAUGGGCGGAAGCCUGAUGCAGCAACGCCGCGUGCGGUAUGACGGCCUUCGGGUUGUAAACCGCUUGCGCCUGUGACGAAGCGGGAGUGACGGUAAUGGGUAAAGAAGCACCGGCUAACUACGUG
rnacentral:rRNA from 1 species